rnacentral:rRNA from 1 species
CUACGGGUGGCAGCAGUGAGGAAUAUUGCACAAUGGGGGGAACCCUGAUGCAGCAACGCCGCGUGGAGGAUGACGCAUUUCGGUGUGUAAACUCCUUUUAUAUGUCAAGAAAAUGACGGUAGCAUAUGAAUAAGCACCGGCUAACUCCGUGCCAGCAGCCGCGGUAAUACGGAGGGUGCAAGCGUUACUCGGAAUCACUGGGCGUAAAGGACGCGUAGGCGGGUUGGAAAGUCAGGUGUGAAAUCCUACAGCUUAACUGUAGAACUGCAUUGAAACUUGUAAUCUAGAGUAUGGGAGGGGGAGAUGGAAUUAGUGGUGUAGGGGUAAAAUCCGUAGAUAUCACUAGGAAUACCUAAAGCGAAGGCGAUCUCCUGGAACAUUACUGACGCUAAGGCGUGAAAGCGUGGGGAGCAAACAGGAUUAGAUACCCCUGUAGUC